UACGUAGGGGGCUAGCGUUAUUCGGAAUUACUGGGCGUAAAGCGCACGUAGGCGGACUGGAAAGUUGGGGGUGGAAAUCCCCGGGGCUCAACCUCGGAACUGCCUUCAAAACUCCCAGUCUUGAGGUCGAGAGAGGUGAGUGGAAUUCCGAGUGUAGAGGUGAAAUUCGUAGAUAUUCGGAGGAACACCAGUGGCGAAGGCGGCUCACUGGCUCGAUACUGACGCUGAGGUGCGAAAGCGUGGGGAGCAAACAGGAUUAGAUACCCCCCGUAGU
rnacentral:rRNA from 1 species